GGAACCUUUGGAGGUCACACAGUUCUAACUUCUUGUCAGCCAGAAUAGGCUGUACAUUUUGGAUGUACCUCGUAACUGAGCAUCCACAACCUCUCUGGGAAACCUCCUUCAGUGACUGAUCAUCCCAAAGAGAAGAACACAACCCAGUUUCUGCAACAAAAUACAUUUUUGCUAAGUACAAAAUACUUGGAUUUGUCACUUGGAAACCAGGCAGUAAAACAGGCUGAGCCGUACCUUCACAGAAGGCGCCAGUGCUAGAGAAUACUCCUCACUAAAACUGGUUCAGUGAAAGAAAAGAUCCUGCAAGGAAAAAAGCUAUUUGUGCACCUUGAUGUUACUGCACGCCAAUAGUCUUUCAGCAGAACUCUGUUAUUAAUGUUUCAUUUCAAGUCCCUUGUGAUUAACAGUCCAUGCUCAUCAGCCCGGCCUUCCCAACCUAUUUCCUGCACUAGGACGUGUACCAUACUACACAUUAAGAUGGAUUACAACAGGCAUCCUAACAAAGCCAUCUGCUUCAGUCUGCAUGAAUCUAAAUCAGCAAAUAAAAUGGUUAUGCCAAUUAA